rnacentral:lncRNA from 1 species
GGAGAGUUAAUGGACUACAGAAAUAUUGUCUGUUUGCUGGAGAGUAUUAAGGACAUAACUGAGGUCAAUACAGAACUCUUUGGUCUUCCAAAGUCAUCUGUGGCCAGUCCUUUUCAAACUGGUGUUCAUAGAGCAGGUUAUUCCUUGCAGCACCAACUGAGAGGAGAGGAAAGCUUGGAAGAUUCUGACAGCUGACAAAUGACAUUCCAAGAACUUAGCCGGAGCCCAGAUUGUGCACUGCUGUGGGAAUUUCUCCUCAUAGAUAUGUCCAACAACUCUGCUCUGGAGAAAAUGCUCAGGUAAUGCAUUCCCAGUGGUAGCUCAGUUCCCAUCAACUCACCACCGGUGCCCUCAUUAGGGUGUUUUUCUUUCUUCAGGUAUUUGUUUUCAGUCCAUCUUCACUUCCCACCACAGUGAAUUUAGUGUCCGUGAAGGGGACUGGGUAGCUCUCCCCUGAGACUACCCUAGGUUUAUUUUUAGCACAGGCAGUCUGGAAAAAUUACCUUCCCUUGCUGACUGCACCAGGACUGUCUUAAUUCUGACACAGAAUUCUGAACCUCUCACAUUGGAUUGAGAAUGAAUGGGUAAUCCAUGCCUUCACUCCACUCUAAUGGAGGAAUCACAUUACAAUGGGGCUAAAAAUUUGCCACAGGUUACCCAGACACCCAAUCAAAAGAGCUUUUCUUUGGUCUGUUGGUCUCAGAUUUGUAAGAUGUUUAACAGUGUAAAAAUUGCAAGUUGGUCUGACUAAAUUGGACAGAUUGCAGGUAAAGCCCUGCUCCCUAAAUCCCAAUUGAUCCCCUGAGCCAUCUGUACUCCCUAAAAGUGU